rnacentral:rRNA from 1 species
CUUGACAUCCAGCGAAUUCGGUAGAGAUACCUUAGUGCCUUCGGGAACGCUGAGACAGGUGCUGCAUGGCUGUCGUCAGCUCGUGUUGUGAAAUGUUGGUUAAGUCCCGCAACGAGCGCAACCCUUAUCCUUUGUUGCCAGCGGUCCGGCCGGGAACUCAAAGGAGACUGCCAGUGAUAAACUGGAGGAAGGUGGGGAUGACGUCAAGUCAUCAUGGCCCUUACGAGUAGGGCUACACACGUGCUACAAUGGCGCAUACAAAGAGAAGCGACCUCGCGAGAGCAAGCGGACCUCAUAAAGUGCGUCGUAGUCCGGAUUGGAGUCUGCAACUCGACUCCAUGAAGUCGGAAUCGCUAGUAAUCGUAGAUCAGAAUGCUACGGUGAAUACGUUCCCGGGCCUUGUACACACCGCCCGUCACACCAUGGGAGUGGGUUGCAAAAGAAGUAGGUAGCUUAACCUUCGGGAGGGCGCUUACCACUUUGUGAUUCAUGACUGGGGUGAAGUCGUAACAAGGUAGGCGUACGUGU